AGGUAACGGUUUCUGAUAAUAUAGACUAUAGUCAUACUAUAGAUUCUGAAAUAAAAAUAAUAAUCCAAAAAACCGUCACAACGUAUUAGAUAUAAUCGGACAUUUUAUAAAGUAACUGUUCUUUUAUUAUUCAUAGUAUGAUAACAAGCAUGAUGCAAAAGUGAUACAGCAAACAACACAGAUUAACAGUUACAUGUAAUUCCUCAUGACGAAAUAGUUACUUGCAAAGAGUAACACAUGAUUUGAGGUCAUUUACACACUGCUCUUCAAUACAAUUGAAGUUGAAAGCUUGGCAAGUCACAAAAAUACAGGUCACGAAUGGAUUUCGACAAUUAUCCAAACAUUGACCCAAUCCCACCUGCUGCCCAUUCACAUA
rnacentral:lncRNA from 1 species